GCCUAAAGCGUCCGUAGCCUGCUUUGUAAGUUUCCGGUUAAAUCCAUUAGCUCAACUAAUGGGCCGCCGGAAAAACUGCAAAGCUAGGGAGUGAGAGAGGUAGACGGUACUCGGUAGGAAGGGGUAAAAUCCUUUGAUCUAUCGAUGACCACCUGUGGCGAAGGCGGUCUACCAGAACACGUUCGACGGUGAGGGAUGAAAGCUGGGGGAGCAAACCGGAUUAGAUACCCGGGUAGUCCCAGCUGUAAACGAUGCAGACUCGGUGAUGCGCUGGCUUGUGGCUAGUGCAGUGCCGCAGGGAAGCCGUUAAGUUUGCCGCCUGGGAAGUACGUACGCAAGUAUGAAACUUAAAGGAAUUGGCGGGGGAGCACCACAAGGGGUGAAGCCUGCGGUUCAAUUGGAGUCAACGCCAGAAAUCUUACCCGAGGAGACAGCAGAAUGAAGGUCAAGCUGGAGACUUUACCAGACAAGCUGAGAAGUGGUGCAUGGCCGUCGCCAGCUCGUGCCGUGAGAUGUCCUGUUAAGUCAGGUAACGAGCGAGAUCCCUGCCUCUAGUUGCCACCAUUACUCUCAGGAGUAGUGGGGCGAAUUAGCGGGACCGCCACAGUUAAUGUGGAGGAAGGAAGGGGCCACGGCAGGUCAGUAUGCCC
rnacentral:rRNA from 1 species